CCUACGGGAGGCAGCAGUGAGGAAUAUUGGUCAAUGGACGAGAGUCUGAACCAGCCAAGUAGCGUGAAGGAUGACUGCCCUAUGGGUUGUAAACUUCUUUUAUAUGGGAAUAAAACGUUCCACGUGUGGGAUUUUGUAUGUACCAUAUGAAUAAGGAUCGGCUAACUCCGUGCCAGCAGCCGCGGUAAUACGGAGGAUCCGAGCGUUAUCCGGAUUUAUUGGGUUUAAAGGGAGCGUAGGUGGAUUGUUAAGUCAGUUGUGAAAGUUUGCGGCUCAACCGUAAAAUUGCAGUUGAAACUGGCAGUCUUGAGUACAGUAGAGGUGGGCGGAAUUCGUGGUGUAGCGGUGAAAUGCUUAGAUAUCACGAAGAACUCCGAUUGCGAAGGCAGUUCACUGAACUGCAACUGACACUGAGGCUCGAAAGUGUGGGUAUCAAACAGGAUUAGAUACCCUAGUAGUC
rnacentral:rRNA from 1 species